UACGGAGGGUGCGAGCGUUGUCCGGAAUCACUGGGCGUAAAGGGCGCGUAGGGGGCGCGAGUAGUCAACGGUGAAAGCCCGGGGCUCAACCCCGGGUCGGCCGUCGAUACUCUCGUGCUUGAGCACUGUAGAGGCAGGUGGAAUUCCGGGUGUAGCGGUGGAAUGCGUAGAGAUCCGGAAGAACACCGGUGGCGAAGGCGGCCUGCUGGGCAGUAGCCGACACUGAGGCGCGACAGCGUGGGGAGCAAACAGG
rnacentral:rRNA from 1 species